rnacentral:rRNA from 1 species
UUCCGGUUGAUCCUGCCGGACCCGACUGCUAUUUGGGUGAGGAUAAGCCAUGCGAGUUGGGAUACCUUCCCAUAGCAAACUGCUCAGUAACACAUGAUCAACUUACCCUAUGGAGAAAUAUAACCUCGGGAAACUGAGGAUAAUAUUUCAUAGUUGAAUAGGCUUGGAAAAGUUUUUCAAUCAAAUGGUUAUCUGCUAUAGGAUAGGAUCGUGGACGAUUAGGUUGUUGGUGAGGUAACGGCUCACCAAGCCGAUAAUCGAUAGGGGCCGUGAGAGCGGGAGCCCCGAGAUGGGUACUGAGACAACGACCCAGGCCUUACGAGGCGCAGCAGGCGCGGAACCUCCGCAAUACACGAAAGUGUGACGGGGUUACCCAAAGUGUUCAAUUCUGAACUGUGGUAGGUGAGUAAUGUUCCCUACUAGAAAGGAGAGGGCAAGGCUGGUGCCAGCCGCCGCGGUAAAACCAGCUCUUCAAGUGGUCGGGAUAAUUAUUGGGCUUAAAGUGUCCGUAGCCGGUUUAGUAAGUUCCUGGUAAAAUCGGGUAGCUUAACUAUCUGUAUGCUAGGAAUACUACUAUACUAGAGGGCGGGAGAGGUCUGAGGUACUACAGGGGUAGGGGUGAAAUCUUAUAAUCCUUGUAGGACCACCAGUGGCGAAGGCGUCAGACUGGAACGUGCCUGACGGUGAGGGACGAAAGCCAGGGGAGCGAACCGGAUUAGAUACCCGGGUAGUCCUGGCCGUAAACGAUGCAUACUAGGUGAUGGUAUGGCCAUGAGCCAUAUCAGUGCCGUAGGGAAACCGUUAAGUGUGCCGCCUGGGAAGUACGGUCGCAAGGCUAAAACUUAAAGGAAUUGGCGGGGGAGCACCACAAGGGGUGAAGCCUGCGGUUCAAUUGGAUUCAACGCCGGA